CCUACGGGGGGCAGCAGUGGGGAAUAUUGGACAAUGGGCGAAAGCCUGAUCCAGCCAUGCCGCGUGUGUGAAGAAGGCCUUCGGGUUGUAAAGCACUUUCAGUGGGGAAGAAAGCCUUGGGGCUAAUACCCUCGAGGAAGGACAUCACCCACAGAAGAAGCACCGGCUAACUCCGUGGCCAGCAGCCGCGGUAAUACGGAGGGUGCGAGCGUUAAUCGGAAUUACUGGGCGUAAAGCGCGCGUAGGCGGUCUGAUAAGCCGGUUGUGAAAGCCCCGGGCUCAACCUGGGAACGGCAUCCGGAACUGUCAGGCUAGAGUGCAGGAGAGGAAGGUAGAAUUCCCGGUGUAGCGGUGAAAUGCGUAGAGAUCGGGAGGAAUACCAGUGGCGAAGGCGGCCUUCUGGACUGACACUGACGCUGAGGUGCGAAAGCGUGGGUAGCAAACAGGAUUAGAUACCCCAGUAGUC
rnacentral:rRNA from 1 species